AUUGACAGAUUGAAAGCUCUUUCUUGAUUUUGUGGAUGGUGGUGCAUGGCCGUUUUUAGUUGGUGGAUUGAUUUGUCUGGUUAAUUCCGAAAACGAACGAGACCUUAACCUGUUAACUAUGUGAUGUUAAAAUUCGACUUCGGUCUCAAUAUUUGAUAUUAAAAAUUUAAUACUUCUUAAAGGAACAAUUCAAACUUUAAUUGAAUGGAAGUUUUAAGGCAAAAAACAGGUCUGUGAUGCCCUUCGAUGUUCUGGGCUGCACGCGCGUUACACUGAUAUGUUCAAUGAGUUUUUAAAUUUCCUAGUCUGAAAAGACGUGGUAAACUUAGAAAACAUAUCGUGAUUGGAAUAGUAUUUUGUAAUUAUCGCACUUGAACGAGGAAUUCCUAGUAGGGGGCAAUUCAUCAAAUUGCCCCGAUUACGUCCCCGCCCUUUGUACACAC
rnacentral:rRNA from 1 species